rnacentral:ncRNA from 2 species
AUAAGGAAAGGGUAAGCGAGGUGUAAUUCCUCCACAGUGCCGCUACCGUAAAGUCGGAAAACCACCUUAU